AUUGAACGCUGGCGGCAUGCCUUACACAUGCAAGUCGAACGGUAACGGGCCUUCGGGUGCCGACGAGUGGCGAACGGGUGCGUAAUACAUCGGAACGUGCCCGAUCGUGGGGGAUAACGAGGCGAAAGCUUUGCUAAUACCGCAUACGAUCUACGGAUGAAAGCAGGGGACCGCAAGGCCUUGCGCGGACGGAGCGGCCGAUGGCAGAUUAGUUAGUUGGUGGGAUAAAAGCUUACCAAGCCGACGAUCUGUAGCUGGUCUGAGAGGAUGAUCAGCCACACUGGGACUGAGACACGGCCAAGACGACUACGGGAGGCAGCAGUGGGGAAUUUUGGACAAUGGGCGCAAGCAUGAUCCAGCCAUGCCGCGUGCAGGAUGAAGGCCUUCGGGUUGUAAACUGCUUUUGUACGGAACGAAAAGCCUUCUUUUAAUACAGGAGGGUCAUGACGGUACCGUAAGAAUAAGCACCGGCUAACUACGUG
rnacentral:rRNA from 1 species